rnacentral:lncRNA from 1 species
CCUGCUUCUUCUCCACCUAUUCUCCCUCACACCAAACGUCUACCACCUCACACUCACUGGAAAAACCGCCACUCUCCUUGCCGCUGCACUAGAAGCUUGAAUCCACUAGAAUCUUCAUCACUAAUUUGAUUUCUUUCCUUCUUUCAUUUGAAAAAAACUUUAUGCUAUCUAGUAAUAUUAUGUGGAGUGAAUUUUGGUUUUACAAAAUAUUUGUUUGAAAAAGUAAAGCAAGAUCGAAGAGGCGAUGAUUGGGCAUAUCUCUCGUUCUAGCUCCAAUGGUUUUUCUUUAGUAACCAUAAACCUUAAAGCUUUGUCAUCCAUGGCCAUAUCAAAACCAGUCAGAAAACUCGUUUAUAAUACCAUUUCGGAUCAAGAAUCCAGCGAUUUCAAAGCUUCGGCUGUCCGAAUCUGAGUCGAGUUUGGUUUCCAGUCGAGAGGUGCGCCGUUCGUGGAUUUUCGGCCUGUCCAGGUGUCCUGUUCCCUGGUCUUAGUCAAUAGAGGUAAGUCGAGGUCUUCGACCUUCUGCUGUAAGAUUCCUGGUUUGGCAUUUCAUAUAUGAUCGGGUUUUUGAAGGUGCUUCUGCUCACUUUCUCUGUUACUUCAUCCUUCUUAAUUUGAUGCAUGUGUUUAUGAUUUAU